GGGCGAACAAGCCUCAGCGCAACCUCCGCUGCCGUACUCGCAGCGGCGAUCACAUCCGCCGCCUUCCCAGUGACCGGCCCCUCACAAACAACAUGAGUAUGUGCCACCACCGCAAUAAACCCAUCAAUAUGACACCCCAUAUCUAUCUUAACAAUAUCCCCCGCUUCCACUGUCACAUCAUCGCUAGCAAGCGGCGAGAAAUGGCACAUAGUAUUGUUC
rnacentral:misc_RNA from 1 species